GCGUCACUGAACGUCAUCUGGGGAUGCGUGCGGACUUCAAAUCCGUAGCCCAAGAAAUUGGGAGUUGUUCGAUUCAACCUGAGGCGU
rnacentral:tRNA from 1 species